UACGUAGGGUGCAGGCGUUAAUCGGAAUUACUGGGCGUAAAGCGUGCGCAGGCGGUCUCUUAAGACAGGUGUGAAAUCCCCGGGCUUAACCUGGGAACUGCGCUUGUAACUGAGAGGCUUGAGUGUGCCAGAGGGGGGUGGAAUUCCACGUGUAGCAGUGAAAUGCGUAGAGAGUGUGGAGGAACACCGAUGGCGAAGGCAGC
rnacentral:rRNA from 1 species